rnacentral:lncRNA from 1 species
AUAAUAAUAAUAAUAAUAAAUAUUAUUAUUAUUAUUAUUAUUAUUAUUAUUAUUGUUGUUGUUAUUAGUAGUAGUAUUAUAAAAGCUAAAGCAGCAUUAAAUAUGACCCUACAUCCUCUUGCACUAUAGGAGGCAGUGCAGUGGAUUCACAACAUAGCGUUUGACAGUACAAUUUGUAAAAUAUCGUAGGAACCACCACAAAGCCAUUUGGCCAUGCCCACUGCACAAACCUAUUUGCGGUCUAGUUUCUUCAUUGUGCUACUGUGCACCAUGUUUAGUUUCUCUUCAUGUAGGUAUAAUUAAUUCUUCAACAAAGUAGUUCCACAAGGAAACUGCUUCCUACCUUCUCCUGCCAGUAGGUGACGCUGUGUUUUUGACCUCUCAUGGGCACAAGGAAUGUUGUAUUACUAUAUGGAUGUUGGGAUGAGCUAGAAAAUUAUCAAAAUUUUCACAUAAUAACUAUGCCAUCAAACAAUAACUGACUGUUUUCGGCACACAUCAAGACCAUCCCAAGGAUAUUCUGACAUAGGAUGAUAGAUUUGGGUAUGUUAAAUUAGUGCUGGACGAUAAUUCGAUAACAAUAUAUAUCGAUCGAUAGACGUGUGGUGCGAUAGAAAAAAAACGGGUCGAUAAAAAGUUCGAUAGAAAAACACAGUUUCCCUUUCUUUUUCAUCAUAGCCUAUCAUGUAGCUUUUACUACAGUCAUUACUUCCUCCCAACCAAUCACAAACGCAGACCCAGGUACGCUACGGCACCAAGCCCAGCCCCUAUCAAACCACAACAGACAGCACGUGUAUUAGAAAAAAUGAUACAGCAAGGAGAAGCGGAGGACA